rnacentral:rRNA from 1 species
AUGCUUGCAGGAUCCGACGCUGAUAACACUGACAUCGAUGAGCCUGUAGACUCCAACACGGGAUCUAUCGAGCUUGAUCCUUUCGACUAUGUGUACUCGAACAUCCCAGACAGCACGCACAUCCUGAAGCACGCGGCGAACUGCGACCAUUGCAAGGCCAAGAAGUUCCAGUAUGAGACUGACGGCUUCUGCUGUCGGAACGGGGAGAUUAAGCUGGCUGAACCGGAGCCUAUCCCGGAGCUGAUGAGGUUAUGGUCUAGCGCGGAUGGAGACUCUCGGCAUUUCCGGGAGAGCAUUCGGUUCUUCAACGGGCACUUCUCCUUCACUACCCUU